rnacentral:rRNA from 4 species
AAAUUAAAACUUUCAACAACGGAUCUCUUGGUUCUGGCAUCGAUGAAGAACGCAGCGAAAUGCGAUAAGUAAUGUGAAUUGCAGAAUUCAGUGAAUCAUCGAAUCUUUGAACGCACAUUGCGCCCCUUGGUAUUCCGAGGGGCAUGCCUGUUCGAGCGUCAUU